rnacentral:rRNA from 1 species
GACGAACGCUGGCGGCGUGCUUAACACAUGCAAGUCGAACGAAAAUACCAAGCUUGCUUGGUUGAUUAGUGGCGAACGGGUGAGUAACACGUGAGUAAUCUGCCCCUUACUUUCCUGGAUAACUGCUCGAAAGGGUAGCUAAUACGGGAUAUUCUGACCAGCCUGCAUGGGUUGGUUUGGAAAGGUUGUUUUUCUGGUAAGGGAUGGGCUCGCGGCCUAUCAGCUUGUUGGUGGGGUGAUGGCCUACCAAGGCUUUGACGGGUAGCCGGCCUGAGAGGGUGGACGGUCACACUGGGACUGAGAUACGGCCCAGACUCCUACGGGAGGCAGCAGUGGGGAAUAUUGCACAAUGGGCGCAAGCCUGAUGCAGCGACGCCGCGUGAGGGAUGAAGGCCUUCGGGUUGUAAACCUCUUUCGUCAGGGAACAAGGCACUGCUUUUUUGGUGGUGUUGAGGGUACCUGGAUAAGAAGCGCCGGCUAACUACGUG